rnacentral:lncRNA from 1 species
GAAGUUAUGUUAUAUGAAUAAAGCUAGCAAAUAGUUUAAUUGCAAACAGACAAUUAAGCAGGAUACAGGUUGGUACUUAGUAUUGUGCAAUUACUCAAAUAUUUAUUUCGUGUUUGCAUUUAAAUAAAGGUAUUCCUGAAACAAUGUUAGAGUCCAAUUAAGUCUGUAACAUAGUUUUAUAACAAACAUUGCGGUUCAAUAAAAAAGUACAGACACACA